CAGGUUUAUGCUCCCAUUAUUUGGUCUCAGACUACUAGCCUGGAGAUUGGCCAUUACCUGUUGGAAGAGUUUUUUUCUUCAUAUUAGACGUGUUCAAAUUCGAGUCAGUAGUUUUAUAUCUCAGAGUGCAGAGGACGCUUCAUGGAUCUUCCAGUGAAAUUGGAUGGCUACAAAGAGCUCUUGGAGUGCCACCUGUUAAGGAUGGUACAACCAGAUUCAUGGAACUUCUUGAAGGCAUAAGGUGAUUUUGCAGGUUAUUUGCCUGGUGAUCAGGAGCUGAGCCCCACUGUAAAGUUUCCAUAUGAGGAUUGGUGGGUCCCUGACGAGUUCGAGCACGGUGCCGAUUGUAUAUGCGAGGAUUGUGCUGCAUGGUAGUUGUGACUCCUGAGUGAUUCUUUUUUUUCUUUUUGAUGUACUCCAUUUUGUUACUUGAUGCUUAAAUUGUUGUAUUUUUGUAUAUAUAUAUCAUGCCUUCGUGCCCAAAUGUAUGUAACUUUUAUAACUCAAUUUGGGUAUCAAGUAUUUGGGAAAUAAUUACAAGUAUAAUUAUGAACAAGUCUUCCAUUGAAAAUACAGGUCUAAUCUUAUAAUAGUAGAUGUAUAUUGUAUCGCAGUCACUGCAUUGUUGAUCCUGGCAAGUUUGUGAGUUAACCGGUGUUAACUCGAUCAUCGGCUCGGCCUUGUGCGGGAGGGGUGUGACAAGGAUGGUAUCAGAGCGCGAUGCUCUGCCUGUCUACAGCAUACUGCUUAGACAACAUAGAAGCUAUAAUAGGUCUGGGUUGGGUGAAGAUAAAAACCUUAUGAAAACUUAAAAAACCUUAAAUUAAAUGAAAAAAAUUUGUAAUCAUUGCAUUCAUGGCAUGCAUGCAUUGUUAAUAUGAAUCCUGGUUAACUAGUUUUGGAAUUGUCAUAAUUGAAUUAUUUGAUAAUGGGAGUUUUAAAAAAAUUUCGGCAACAUAAUGGGGGUAAAAUGAGAAAACCAAAAAUUUUCAAACAUAAAACCUGAUA